CCUGAUUAAACAUAAGAGGUCCAGCCUGCCCAGUGAUAAUAUUUAACGGCCGCGGUAUACUGACCGUGCGAAGGUAGCAUAAUCACUUGUUCUUUAAAUAGGGACUCGUAUCAACGGCAUCACGAGGGCUAUACUGUCUCCCCCCUCCAAUCAGUGAAACUGAUCCCCCCGUGAAGAAGCGGGGAUUUAACUAUAAGACGAGAAGACCCCAUGGAGCUUUAAACUUAACAUGUACCCGUAUAAUUAUUUAUCAACUUAACCUCAAGACCUGCAUGUUAGCUUUCGGCUGGGGGGGCCACGGAGUAAAAUUAAACCUCCGCAACAAACGGGCAAAUACCCUUAUCUACGACUGACAAAUCCAAGAAUCAUCAAAAUGAUGUUUAGUGAUCCGACAAUUCGAUCAAUGAACCA
rnacentral:rRNA from 1 species